AAUGAACGCUGGCGGCAGGCCUAACACAUGCAAGUCGAACGGAGCAGCAAUGCUCAGUGGCGGACGGGUGAGUAACGCGUGGGAACAUACCCUUUGGUACGGAAUAGCCUCGGGAAACUGGGAGUAAUACCGUAUGUGCUCUUCGGAGGAAAGAUUUAUCGCCAAAGGAUUGGCCCGCGUUGGAUUAGGUAGUUGGUGGG
rnacentral:rRNA from 1 species